UCAAGCGAAAAAGAGCACAAGGGGAAUGCCUUGGCACUGGGAGCCGACGAAAGACGUGAUAAGCUGCGAUAAGCCGUGGGGAGCCGCAAAUAGGCAUCGAUCCACGGAUUUCUGAAUGGGGAAACCCACACGGAGUAAUGUCCGUGUAACGUACGCUGAAUACAUAGGCGUGCGUGGGGAACCGCCCGAACUGAAACAUCUAAGUAGGGCGAGGAAAAGACAUCAACCGAGAUUCCGCUAGUAGUGGCGAGCGAACGCGGAGCAGGCCAAACCGAGGGUAGCAAUAUUCUCGGGGUUCGGACAGCGACACGCUAUCUUAAGGGUUAGCCGAAGCGCAUGGGAAGGCGCACCGCAGGGGGUGAGAGUCCCGUAGGCGAAAACCUAAGAGAGGCAGCUGGAUCCAGAGUACCGCCGGACACGUGAAACCCGGUGGGAAGACGGGGGGACCACCCUCCAAGCCUAAAUACUACCCAGUGACCGAUAGUGAAGCAGUACCGUGAGGGAAAGGUGAAAAGAACCCCGUGAGGGGAGUGAAAUAGAACCUGAAACCUUGUGCUUACAAACACUCAAAGCACGUUCAAGUGUGAUGAGGUACUUUUUGUAGAACGGUCCGGCGAGUAAAUCUUUGCAGCAUGGUUAAGGUGUAGAAGCACUGAAGCCGAAGGGAAACCGAGUCUGAAUAGGGCGAGUACGUUGUAGGGAUUUGACCCGAAACCGGGUGACCUAUCCAUGUCCAGGCUGAAGUGGCAGUAAAAUGCCAUGGAGGGCCGAACCCACGUUCGUUGAAAAGACCGGGGAUGAGGUGUGGAUAGCGGAGAAAUUCCAAUCGAACCCGGAGAUAGCUGGUUCUCCCCGAAAUAGUUUUAGGACUAGCCUCGUAUUAGAUUAGCGGAGGUAAAGCACUGAAUGGGCUAGGGGCCGAUAAGGUUACCGAACCCUAUCAAACUCUGAAUGCCGCAUAAUUGAUGUACGGGAGUCAGACAGCGUGAGAUAAGUUUCGUUGUCAAAAGGGAAACAGCCCAGACCCACAGCUAAGGUCCCUAAUAUACGCUAAGUGGAAAACGAUGUGAAGUUGUCCAAACAAUCGGGAUGUUGGCUUAGAAGCAGCCACACAUUCAAAGAGUGCGUAAUAGCUCACCGAUCGAAUGACUUUGCGCGGAAGAUAUAACGGGGCUAAGCGUAUAACCGAAGCUUGGGCUGACGAAUAAUUGACAAUGUAUAAUUGACAAUUGACAAUUAGGAGACGAGUAUGAGUGACAAUGCGAUAAAAGACAAGAGCAAGGUGUUUGCUGUUAGAGUUGUUCGGAUGUAUCAGUAUCUUUCCGGUAGGAAGGGUGAGUUGGUGCUGUCGAAACAGCUUUUGCGCAGUGGUACCAGCAUUGGAGCUAAUGUUCGAGAGGCGUUACAAGGUCAGAGCAAGAGAGAUUUUACGGCAAAGAUGUCAAUAGCGUUAAAAGAAGCGAGCGAGACGCAAUAUUGGCUGGAAUUGCUGUACGAAACGGAGUAUCUGACAGAGCGAGAAUACGAGAGCAUAAGGACUGAUUGUGAGGAAUUGAUAAAAGUACUCACGUCAAUAGUAAAAAGCUCUCGAUCAAAAGAAGCCACCUAAUUAUCAAUUAUCAAUUGUCAAUUGUCAAUUGUCAAUUAUUCGUCGGGGUAGGGGAGCGUUGAAUACGGGGCGAAGCAUUACCGUGAGGAGAUGUGGACUGUAUUCAAGUGAGAAUGCCGGAAUAAGUAGCGCGAAUUAUGUGAGAAUCAUAAUGGCCGAAAAUCUGAGGUUUCCUGGGGAAGGUUCGUCCGCCCAGGGUAAGCCGGAAGCUAAGGCGAGGCCGGAAGGCGUAGCUGAUGCACAUACGGUGGAAAUUCCGUAGCCGCCGACAUUUAAACCAGAAGGACACUUGGGAAUAGCUGAACCCCGGCGUUGGUUGACCGGGGCGCAAGGGACCGAAAUUAGAGUAGGGAAGUCAGCGAUGUUCCGAGGCGAGAAAAGCUCUGGUGAAUACUAAGGCGUCCGUACCGCAAACCGACACAGGUAGAUGAGGAGAGAAUCCUAAGGCCAACGGGAGAAGGGUUGUUAAGGAACUCGGCAAAUUAACCCCGUAACUUCGGGAUAAGGGGUGCCCUCGAGAGAGGGCCGCAGUGAAUAGGCCCAAGCGACUGUUUAUCAAAAACACAGGUCUCUGCAAAGUCGAAAGACGACGUAUAGGGGCUGACGCCUGCCCGGUGCCGGAAGGUUAAGAGGAGAGGUUAGGGGUAACCCGAAGCUUUGAAUUGAAGCCCCGGUAAACGGCGGCCGUAACUAUAACGGUCCUAAGGUAGCGAAAUUCCUUGUCAGGUAAGUUCUGACCCGCACGAAUGGCGUAACGAUUUGGGCACUGUCUCGACAGCCCGCCCGGCGAAAUUGUAGUAUUGGUGAAGAUGCCAGUUACCCGCAACUAGACGGAAAGACCCCAUGGAGCUUCACUGUAGCUUGAUACUGGAUUUUGGUACUUCAUGUACAGGAUAGGUGGGAGACUUGGAACGCAGGGCGCCAGCUUUGCGGGAGUCGACCUUGGGAUACCACUCUUGGAGUGCCGGAAUUCUAACCUACGGCCUUGAAUCAGGCCGGGGGACACUGUCAGGUGGGCAGUUUGACUGGGGCGGUCGCCUCCGAAAGAGUAACGGAGGCGCUCAAAGGUUGGCUCAGCACGGACGGAAAUCGUGCGAAGAGUGCAAACGCGUAAGCCAACUUAACUGCGAGGCCGACGGGCCGAGCAGAUACGAAAGUAGGAGUUAGUGAUCCGGCGGUAGUUCGUGGAAAUGCCGUCGCUCAACGGAUAAAAGCUACCCUGGGGAUAACAGGCUGAUCUCCCCCAAGCGUCCACAGCGACGGGGAGGUUUGGCACCUCGAUGUCGGCUCGUCACAUCCUGGGGCUGUAUUCGGUCCCAAGGGUUCGGCUGUUCGCCGAUUAAAGUGGCACGCGAGCUGGGUUCAGAACGUCGUGAGACAGUUCGGUCCCUAUCUAUUGCGGGCGCAGGAGAUUUGAAGGGAGCUGUCCUUAGUACGAGAGGACCGGGAUGGACGCGCCUCUGGUGCACCAGUUGUCCUGCCAAGGGCACAGCUGGAUAGCUAUGCGCGGACGAGAUAAACGCUGAAAGCAUAUAAGCGUGAAACUCCCCCUAAGAUAAGAUCUCCCACAGCAGCAAUGCUGGAUAGACCUCACAAAGACUAUGUGGUUGAUAGGCCGGCGAUGUAAGCGCAGUAAUGUGUUGAGUCAACCGGUACUAAUGGGUCGAGAGCUUGACC
rnacentral:rRNA from 1 species